UACGAAGGGGGCUAGCGUUGCUCGGAAUUACUGGGCAUAAAGCGCACGUAGGCGGCUGGGUCCGUCCGAUGUGAAAGCCCCCGGCUCAACCGGGGAAUUGCAUCGGAUACAGCCCGGCUUGAGGACGGUUGGGGUGAGUGGAACUCCUGGUGGAGCGGUGAAAUGCGUAGAUAUCAGGAGGAACACCGGUGGCGAAAGCGGCUCACUGGACCGUAACUGACGCUGAGGUGCGAAAGCUAGGGGAGCAAACGGG
rnacentral:rRNA from 1 species